UACGUAGGGUGCAAGCGUUGUCCGGAAUUAUUGGGCGUAAAGAGCUCGUAGGCGGUUCGCUAAGUCGGGUGUGAAAACUCUGGGCUCAACUCAGAGACGCCACCCGAUACUGGCGUGACUCGAGUCCGGUAGGGGAGCAUGGAAUUCCUGGUGUAGCGGUGAAAUGCGCAGAUAUCAGGAGGAACACCAGUGGCGAAGGCAGGUCUCUGGGCUGACACUGACGCUCAUGCACGAAAGCGUGGGGAGCAAACAGG
rnacentral:rRNA from 1 species